GUCUACAGCCAUGCUACCCUGAACAAGCCCGAUCCCAUCUAAUCUCAAAAGUUAAGCCUGGUUAGUACCUGGAUGGGAGACUACCUAGAAAGAACAGGUGCUGUAGGCA
rnacentral:rRNA from 1 species